AGGUCUCGUUUUUUAUAUGUUAAUAAAUUAAUAAUGAAUCUAGUAUUUAUUUUAUAAUCAAUAUAAUAGUAAUUAUAUCCAAAUACUAUAGUUCUCUCUUUUUAAAUUAGUUUAAAAUAAAAAGAAAGGGGGAGAUAUAGAAUGUAGAUAUGGUAUUUUAAAAUUUCUUUGGGUGAGGGGAAGAUACUAUCAAGUAACAAAUCUCAAGACUCAAUCCAAUCACAGCCAUCAGACCAACACACAUUAGAAAAAGUUCAUUAAUAGCACAACACAGGCCAUCUACACAGCCCCAAAACAUUGCUCUAGUUUUAUUGACAACAAUGAUGAGAGAAAAGGGGGAGGAGCCAAUUAUUGAUCGGUCAAGCCGUUAAUUAGGUCACACACUAAGCAUGCUAGUACGUUGAUGCUUUUUGUAUGUGUGUGCAACAGACACUGAGCGUGCUCUAAGAUACGUUUUUUUUUUUGGUCAACUAGGUGGCUUGGAGAAGGCGGAAUUUAUCUAGAAUCUAGAUGUAUAGCCUGAUGCCUACUUAUGUACAGCUUAUCCUGUUGAAGAUGAGGAAUAUUAUAUUUAUAAGUUUGAAGCUUUGGCCAAUGCAGCCACUGCCCACCACAUGUUGUUGUAUGGAUGUGAUGGUGAAC